ACACAGACCGGCAGACAAGAUAACAAGCAGUGUCCGCGGUAAAUGUGCUCAAGUUCAUAGUUACACAAAACAACAUCUGCAUUCCAAGGAAACAGACCUUAAAAUCUUCAGGAGGAAAGGAGGGAGACAGAGAGACAGAGAGACAGAGGCAGAGAGACAGAGACAGAGACAAACAGAGACAGAGAGACACAGAGACAGAGACACAGAGACAGAGACAGAGAGACAGAGACAGAGACACAGAGACAGAGACACAGAGAGACAUGGAGACAGAGACAGACAGAGGGACACAGAGACAGAGACAGAGAGACACACAGAGAAAGACAGAGAGAUGGAGAGACACAGAAACACAUAGAGAGAAACACAAAGAGAGACAAAGAGGCAGAGAGAGGGCAAGAGACAGAGGGACACAGAGACACAGAGGCAGAGAGGCAGAGAGACAGAGACAGAGGCAGAGAGAGAGACAGAGACAGAGAGACAAGAGACAUAAAGACAGACACAGAGGCACAGAGGCAGAGAGGCAGAGGCAGAGACAGAGAAGCAGAGAGACAAAGGCACAGAGGCAGAGAGACACAGACAGAGGCAGAGACAGAGAAGCAGAGAGACAAAGACACAGAGGCAGAGAGACACGGACAGAAGCAGAGAGAAAGAGACAGAGGCUCAG
rnacentral:lncRNA from 1 species